ACUCCUUAAUAGUGAAAUUGUCGACAUCCUUGAUGAGCCAGUAGGGGGAGAUUUCAGGAGAUUUCAGGUGGGUCUUUCCCGAGGCCUUCAAAUCACACCUUACAGGCACUGGGCUGCCCCACCUGAACCCCGGGUCCCCCCCCCCAAUCCUCUCCCCCGCCAUCACCAGCUUCCCUGUCAAGCCAGUUCACACGGGCGCUGGAAGGCUCAGGGCAGUCCUUCUUCCCUCUGGGACCUUGCGGUCCGUGGAUAAGGAACCAGCACAAACAGCAGGUCAGCCGCCCGUGGCCAAGUCUGCACUGGGCUGAGAAUGGUAUUUCUUUCUUGACCAAUGAACGUUGCUCGAACACACAGGCCCCAGAUUAAAACACACAAUUCCUCACCA